rnacentral:rRNA from 1 species
AGAGUUUGAUCCUGGCUCAGGAUGAACGCUGGCGGCGUGCUUAACACAUGCAAGUCGAACGAUCCUUCGGGAUAGUGGCGGACGGGUGAGUAACGCGUGGGAAUCUGCCCUCAGGAGGGGGAUAACGGCUGGAAACGGCCGCUAAUACCCCAUAUGCCGAGAGGUGAAAUGAAUUUCGCCUGAGGAUGAGCCCGCGUCUGAUUAGCUAGUUGGUGGGGUAAAGGCCUACCAAGGCAACGAUCAGUAGCUGGUCUGAGAGGAUGAUCAGCCACACUGGGACUGAGACACGGCCCAGACUCCUACGGGAGGCAGCAGUGGGGAAUUUUCCGCAAUGGGCGAAAGCCUGACGGAGCAACGCCGCGUGAGGGAUGAAGGCCUCUGGGCUGUAAACCUCUUUUCUCAAGGAAGAAGACCUGACGGUACUUGAGGAAUAAGCCACGGCUAAUUCCGUGCCAGCAGCCGCGGUAAUACGGGAGUGGCAAGCGUUAUCCGGAAUUAUUGGGCGUAAAGCGUCCGCAGGCGGCCUUGUAAGUCUGUUGUUAAAGCGUGGAGCUCAACUCCAUUUAAGCAAUGGAAACUACAAGGCUGGAGUGUGGUAGGGGCAGAGGGAAUUCCCGGUGUAGCGGUGAAAUGCGUAGAUAUCGGGAAGAACACCAGUGGCGAAGGCGCUCUGCUGGGCCAUAACUGACGCUCAUGGACGAAAGCCAGGGGAGCGAAAGGGAUUAGAUACCCCUGUAGUCCUGGCCGUAAACGAUGAACACUAGGUGUCGGGGGAAUCGACCCCCUCGGUGUCGUAGCCAACGCGUUAAGUGUUCCGCCUGGGGAGUACGCACGCAAGUGUGAAACUCAAAGGAAUUGACGGGGGCCCGCACAAGCGGUGGAGUAUGUGGUUUAAUUCGAUGCAACGCGAAGAACCUUACCAGGGUUUGACAUCCUGCGAACCCCUGAGAAAUCGGGGGGUGCCUUCGGGAGCGCAGAGACAGGUGGUGCAUGGCUGUCGUCAGCUCGUGUCGUGAGAUGUUGGGUUAAGUCCCGCAACGAGCGCAACCCACGUCUUUAGUUGCCAGCAUUCAGUUGGGCACUCUAGAGAGACCGCCGGUGAUAAACCGGAGGAAGGUGUGGAUGACGUCAAGUCAUCAUGCCCCUUACAUCCUGGGCUACACACGUACUACAAUGCUACGGACAAAGGGCAGCAAGCUCGCGAGAGUUAGCAAAUCCCAUAAACCGUGGCUCAGUUCAGAUCGUAGGCUGCAACUCGCCUACGUGAAGGAGGAAUCGCUAGUAAUCGCAGGUCAGCAUACUGCGGUGAAUACGUUCCCGGGCCUUGUACACACCGCCCGUCACACCAUGGAAGUUGGCCAUGCCCAAAGUCGCUACUCCAACCCUUGUGGAGGAGGACGCCGAAGGUGGGGCUGAUGACUGGGGUGAAGUCGAAACAAGGUA